rnacentral:rRNA from 1 species
ACGAAGGGGGCUAGCGUCGUUCGGAAUUACUGGGCGUAAAGCGCACGUAGGCGGACAUUUAAGUCGGGGGUGAAAUCCCGGGGCUCAACCCCGGAACUGCCUUUGAUACUGGGUGUCUUGAGUCCGGAAGAGGUGAGUGGAAUUGCGAGUGUAGAGGUGAAGUUCGUAGAUAUUCGCAGGAACACCAGUGGCGAAGGCGGCUCACUGGUCCGGUACUGACGCUGAGGUGCGAAAGCGUGGGGAGCAAACGGGA